rnacentral:rRNA from 1 species
UGAGGAAUAUUGGACAAUGGGUGAAAGCCUGAUCCAGCCAUCCCGCGUGAAGGACGACGGCCCUACGGGUUGUAAACUUCUUUUAUAUAGGAAUAAACCCAGAUACGUGUAUUUGGCUGAAGGUACUAUAUGAAUAAGCACCGGCUAACUCCGUGCCAGCAGCCGCGGUAAUACGGAGGGUGCGAGCGUUAUCCGGAUUUAUUGGGUUUAAAGGGUCCGUAGGCGGACCUGUAAGUCAGUGGUGAAAUCUCGCAGCUUAACUGUGAAACUGCCAUUGAUACUGCAGGUCUUGAGUGAAUUAGAGGUAGCUGGAAUAAGUAGUGUAGCGGUGAAAUGCAUAGAUAUUACUUAGAACACCAAUUGCGAAGGCAGGUUACCAUGAUUAGACUGACGCUGAGGGACGAAAGCGUGGGGAGCGAACA